UGCUGGAGUGACCCUACGGAGGGGGGACCUUGAAGAACAGCUAGGGAAGACCUGUAGUUUUUGCUUUUCCUCCUUUCAACAAUUGCCUAAAUAUCCAAAUUUCUGUUAAAAUCCUUUAUAUUUGAGAUCUAGAAUGAUUUCUGUUUCUCGCAUCAAGUUCUGACUGAUCGAUAGGGCUGAAGCUCCAGAAAGACAAAUUCAAUGAUAAGCAAGGAUAUUUCCAUGAUACAGGUAAAGAUUGAAGCCCACGGAUAUAAAGAAAGCCCUCUAACCAGAAUACGUUUAUUUCUUGUUUCUUAAAAUGUAAGCAAAGCCUAACAGAAGUUUUUGUUAAAGCUUAAUUUGUAUGCCUAAUUUUGACAGUAUCAUCUAGAAGUGUACGUCAAUUGCAUUUGCCAUUUAAUUUAAAUUAACUUACAUACAUAGAAGUACAAAACACAUUCUUCUAUUGCAAAAUUUCACAAAAUAAAAGAGUGGGAAAAUAAAAAUGCCAACAGCAUGCUAAAACAUGGGUAGUGUUUUUGUUUUUUAAUCCUCUGGUACAAAUAUCAUUCUAUUAUGAAUUUUAUCAUUUGAUUUUACAACCACUUACCUCUCUUAUUAAUUUUUUCUACCCAAAUGUCUUGUCAUCCCAACAUAUUUGUUGAGGCUUUGCCUAGUGCCUCAGAAUUUCCUCUCUAUCCCAACAAGAUUUCACCGCUCAAGUCAUUAAGCUCAUCUAAUUCUCAGCCUCACAAUUCCCUAAUCUCCUAAACUAUAGUGACUCAUUUCCACCCAGUCAUUUAUUCCUGGAAGCAUUGCUGUACAUUGCUAUUAUACAAAUUCUCUGAGCUCUCAUCUUAAAUCCUAACAGUUUACUCUCUGACAACAUCUUUCAUUGUUUCCAAUUAUUCCAUUCUCUGCUGCUCUUUAUAGCUUUUCUAUGAAUAGGUAGAAACCAUUAAAUUCUUUAUAUUUUAUCCUGUUAUCCUUUUCCCCUUAGCUAUUACUUUUCUUUCAACAUUUUAACUCCAUAAAAAAAAAACUCUUAUAAUUCUUCAUCUCCUAUAGGAAAAUUUGCCAUAGAAAAUUACCACAAAUUUAGUGGCUCAAACCAUGCACAUUUAUUAUCGCACAGUUCUGAAGAUCAGAAAUCCAGUAGGUUCCAAUGAUUUCUCUUUUGUGGGUCCCAUAAAGCAGGGAUCUUAUCAGAUCUGCUUCUAGGCUCAUUCAGGUUGUUGGCACAAUUCAGUUUCAUGUGGUCGUAGAACUCAGCUUCUAGAAGCCGCCUGCGUUCUCUGGCUCAAGGUCCUCUUCCACCACAUGCAAAGCCAG
rnacentral:lncRNA from 1 species